GACUUUUGUCUGGAACACACAUCUUCUCUCUGUCUCACUUUCACUCUGUGGGAAGACAGAUACCAUGUUGUGAGCUGCAUUCUGGUGAAGCUUGUGUCAAAAGAUUGAGGGAGGCUUUCAACCAAGAGCAGGUGAGGAAAUGAGGCUCCAGGCCAACCACCCAUGAGGGACUGAAUCAUGCCAACAGCCUGUUGAGUGACCUUGGAAGUGGAUCCUAUCUCAGUUGAACCUUAGAAUGAGACUGCUACCAGGCUGACACUUUGUGAGAAAACGCGAGCCAGAAAGCCCAGCAAAGCCGUGCCCAGAUACCAAACCCACAGGAAGUGGCAAAUGGAAGCAGAGAGACAGAA
rnacentral:lncRNA from 10 species